rnacentral:lncRNA from 1 species
GUUGGGGCAGGCCCAUGGCCAAGUGAUUAAGUUCAUGUGCUCCGCUUUGGCAGCCCAGGGUUUCACCGGUUUGGAUCCUGGGCGUGGACAUGGCACUACUCAUUAGGACAUGUUGAGGUGGCGUCCCACAUACCACAACUAAGGGGACCCACAACUAGAAUAUACAACUUUGUACUAGAGGGAUUUGGGGAGAAAAAGUGGAAAAAAAAACUUUUCAGGAUGCCAUGAUACAAAAGCAAACAGAUAAUCAGGAUUUUUUUAAAUUCAGAAACUAUAGGAUGAUAGUAGCUGGACAAAUAAAGCAAUGAGAACAAUGGGCAUACUUAGAAAAAUUGCAGGCACCCAUAGUUGACUAAAUAUAUAUCUAGGUUUCUAAUCUCCAGUGUGCUUGCUCAGGUGCUUGAGUUAGGGUGUUAGUCAGCUUACCAAGUUAGCUAUUCAAAAAGGAGGGCUAGCAUGAAUAAGACUACGGUCUCAAAGCUGAGUAAAUGAAGGGCAUGUAAAGCAAGAGGUAUGCAUAUCAAAUUGAAGUCUCGGAAAAGAUCAGUAACCAGCAGAGACAAAUGAAAGAGUAAGGAAUAAGUCCUCUAAAUGAGAAGACAUGCCAUUACCCUACUGAACUUUAUUAGAUGGUGACUUACUGAUGGGGAUCUUUGUAAACGUUACAUAACUUUGUUAUACAAAACCUAUUUUACAGACACCCUCUGAUGUGUCAUAUCUGUCAUGUGACAAUAAAAAAAUCAAUAAUAUUGGCUUUGAAAUACGAAAUAGAGUUGUAGUUUCUUCUUAGUAAAUCUAGGGAACUAAUUAAUUUAGAAUAUUUAUUUUUAAUAAUAUGAAACCACUUAGUAUGAAGACACAGAGGUUUUCACAGGUUAAAAUUGCAGUGUGAUUAUAGGGGCAGCAUUUAACUUGGGCAUCACAUGGGAGUUUCACUUAAACUAUCAGAUGCUAAAGAACAGACAUCAAUAUUUAUUAAAUUUUGAAAGACAGAAAGAUUGAAAACAUUCAAUGUAAUUAUAAAUGUUGAAAAGAUUUGAUGACAUGAAAAUUUAAUACUUCUGACUUCAUACGUUUACUGAGGAAUGUUUUUAUUUAUUGUUACUCGAAUGAAUAAUGCUUAUCUACACUUGUCUCUUGGGAACAUAAUGGUGAUGUUGAUGUUGAACAAGGAGGUGAUGAUGAUGAUGGUGGUGGUGAUGACAGUGAUGAUAAAAUAGGCUAACUUUUAUUGAGUGUUGCUGUGUGUCAAAUACUUUUCUGCAUGGUUCAUUAUACUUAAUCCUCACGCGCACACAUAACACCACCAACAAAAUCCUACAAGUUAAAUUCUAUGAAUUUCUGUGUUAAAUAAAUAAGGAAAUUAAAUAUUAUAUAAAAUAAAAAAUUGGUACAGGUGAGGAAUGCCAUAUGUGAACUAUUUCAGCACUGUGGGACAGCAUUUUAAUUGCUCUCUUAAUGCACCUGGUUCAGCCUCUGUUUUAGGGGACAUAUGGCACAUUUCCCUGGGAAUGAGAACUGUUCUAGGAUCUUGAUUAUUUUUCAAUGGAAUUCAGAAUUGUAAUGUGGUCUUUCCUUAAUUUAAUUCAUUGUACAGUUGACAUUCUAUCCCAUUGUGACUUUUUAAACCAAAGGACUCACCAUUUAAGAUGUGUGGCAUUCAGUCAUCAAAGGUUACUGUCAUUUUGCAAAGUCACAAAGCAAUCAUUCUGUAAAUUCCAUCCUUCCAGAAAUUUCUGACUAAAUCUGAAGAUGAAAAUGCCUUCUUCAAUGUUAUCAACAGAGUAGAUUGUCUUCCUUCCAAUGUUUGUCAUUUAAAAUAUUAUUUUGUCAACACUGAAAGUCAUUUUCCUAAAGCCCUUAGAUCAAGUAAAAUUAUCAAGUGCUUUCAUUCUAAUACUGAGGAAAAUGAAGUAAAUUCUAGGCAGUCAUUUUGAGCGUUUUAAUUUCAUGUUUUGUUUUAGGAUUUAUGAAUCUGUUGGCACUCAAUUCAUAGGAAAUAAAAUAAUUUGCUUUGAAAAUGCAAAUUUCUGUAUGCCAUAAGGUCGUAAGAGGUUAGUCUUACUGAAAAUGCAUGAAGAAUUUCCAGCAUGUCAUUAUUAUUUCUUUCAAGACCUUCCUGGAAUUUAAUGUGAUUUUGCUAAAUCUGUGCACAGAUGAAUGCCUAUGGAUUUGGAGUCAGGAGACCUACUUUCAAAUCACUGUUCAUUACAAUCUAAUUUCAUUCCAUUCAGCAAGAUAAGAUAAUUAAUCCAUCUGGGCAUCCAAUCUUUUAUCAUAAAAUGAGAAUAAAGCUUACCCAACCGACUCAUGGUAUAGAUUAAAUGGGACAAUGUAUAUGAACAUACUUUUUGAAUAUGAAAACAAAUCUGUACAGAUGUUAGCCACAAAUAACCAUUUCUUACAUUUGAUCUCCUAGGACCCAUGUGUCCUGGGAGAUCAUCUCAAAUAAUUCAAUAGCAGAAGCCAUGUUUGUAUAGUGUUCUCUUGACGUCACUUUUCAAUGCUUUUCAAAGCUUGUAUGACUUCUUCUUCCAAGUUCCAGGAAGAACUUCUGUCUCCAAACUCAACUCAGUUGCCCUGAGGUAAAAAUGUCUUCACUAUUUCUUUGAGUU